CCGAGAGAACAGGUGUUGGCAGAGAAAGGCUUGGAUUGGAAAAAGAUUGAGAUGGAGUUAGAAGCUAAGAAGACGAGCGCACAUUCAAGCAGGCCCACCAGUGCACACUCGAGCAGGCCUUCAAGUGCGCAUUCCGCCAGAUCGGAGGGGCCGGGGCUGCAGCAGGGAUUAGAGAAUUUGGUAUUGAAGCCAAGACCAAAAGUGAAUCCCUUUGGGGACGCAAAGCCUAGGGAAGUGUUGUUGGAGGAAAGAGGUCAGGAUUGGCGGAAGAUUGAUCUUGAAUUG
rnacentral:misc_RNA from 1 species